CUAAUGUUGCCCCUGGUUUGAGCUUUAAUUUUGUGCUUCACUAUCAACUAUUAUACAUGGUUGGAAAGCUUUGAAUGUCAGCUUUCUAACACAACUAGAAGCACUCAAAUUGAAUCUUUGUAGCUCAAGUUAUUCUUGUUUGAAGGAGACAGGGUCAGGCUGCCAAAAUUGCACACAUUUUUGGUGAAAACGCCCUUGUUUCCAGCGUUGCCAAUGUGCUC
rnacentral:lncRNA from 1 species